GUUGGGGGGGGGAACUGGUUUGUACUGGGGGGGGAUGCAGGGAGGGACUGGGUUGUACUGGGAGGGGAUCGGUCUGUACUGGGGGGAUUGGGCUGGAAUGGGAGGUGGGGACUGGUUUAUACUGGGGGGAGGAAAACGGGGAGUGGUCCGUACUGGGGGAUGCCGGGCAGGGACUGGGCUAUACUGGGGGGAUGCCAGGGGGGGGACUGGGAUAUACUGGGAGGGUGGAUGAGGAGCUGGCCUGGGCAGGGGGGUUGCAAUGGGGGGGACUGGUUUGUACUGGGAGGGAUGCAGAGGAGGGAACUGGUCCCUCCCAGGAGAACUGGGAGGGAUGGAGGGGCACUGGGCUGGACUGGGAGGGAUGGAGGCACUGGUCCAUACUGGGAGGGUGCGGGGGAACUGGUCUAUACUGGGAGGAUGGAGGGAAACUGGUCUAUACUGGGAGGGUACAGGGGAACUGGUCUAUACUGGGAGGGUGCAGGGGAACUGGUCUAUACUGGGAGGAUGCAGGGGAACUGGUCUAUACUGGGAGGAUGGAGGGAAACUGGUCUAUACUGGGAGGAUGGAGGGGAACUGGUCUAUACUGGGAGGAUGCAGGCACUGGUCCAUACUGGGCGGGGGAUGCAUGCACUGGUCUAUACUGGGAUCCCGGGGCCGCACUCACCGGGCCGGGCCGCAGCAUCGCGCUCAGCCCCCGCCGCGCUCCAGGGGCGCCGGGGCCGCUCCGGAUCCGCUCCGGUUCCGCUCCGGAUCCGCUCCGGUUCGGCUCCGGUCCGGGUUCGGCUUCGGAGCCGCUCGGGCUCGGUUCGGCUCCGUUCGGCUCCGUUCGGCUCCGUUCGGGUCGGGUUCGGCUCGGGUUCGGCUCCGCUCGGGGGCUCGGUUCGGGUUCGGCCGCCUUCGGCUCCGGGUUCGGGCGCCUUCGGCUCCGCUCGGCUCGGGUUCGGCUCCGCUCGGGCUCAGCCNNNNNNNNNNNNNNNNNNNNNNNNNNNNNNNNNNNNNNNNNNNNNNNNNNNNNNNNNNNNNNNNNNNNNNNNNNNNNNNNNNNNNNNNNNNNNNNNNNNNNNNNNNNNNNNNNNNNNNNNNNNNNNNNNNNNNNNNNNNNUCCUGGUGUCCCCAUGUCCCCAUGUCCCAAUAUCCCCAAUGUCCCCCUGUCCCCAUAUCCCCGUGUACCCAUCUCCCGGUGUCCCCAUGUCCCAAUGUCCCCAAUGUCCCCCUGUCCCCAUAGCCAUGUGUCCCCCGUGUCCCCAUGUCCCCAAAUCCCGGUGUCCCCAAAUCCCGGUGUCCCCAUGUCCCAAUAUCCCCAAUGUCCCCCUGUCCCCAAAUCCUGGUGUCCCCAAAUCCCGGUGUCCCUGUGUCCCCGUGUCCUAAUGUCCCCGUGUCCCCAAAUCCUGGUGUCCCCAUGUCCCCAUGUCCCAAUAUCCCCAAUGUCCCCCUGUCCCCAUAUCCCCGUGUACCCAUCUCCCGGUGUCCCCAUGUCCCAAUGUCCCCAAUGUCCCCCUGUCCCCAUAGCCAUGUGUCCCCCAUGUCCCCGUGUCCCCAUAUCCCUGUGUCCCCAUGUCCCUAUAUCCCCAUGUCCCCAUGGCCCCAUAUCCUCAUGUCCCCAAAUCCCGGUGUCCCUGUGACCCUGUGUCCCAAUGUCCCCCUGUCCCCAUAGCCAUGUGUCCCCCAUGUCCCCAUGUCCCCAUAUCCCCAUAUCCUGGUGUCCCCGUGUCCCCAUGUCCCAAUAUCCCCCAAUGUCCCCGUGUCCCCAUAUCCCUGUGUCCCCAUGUCCCAAUAUCCCCAUGNNNNNNNNNNGGCGGGAGGGUGUCCCCAGUGUCCCCGUGUCCCCAAAUCCUGGUGUCCCCAAAUCCCGGUGUCCCCGUGUCCCCAUGUCCCCAAAUCCCGGUGUCCCCAUAUCCCCGUGACCCCAAAUCCUGGUGUCCCCAUGUCCCAAUGUCCCCAGAUCCCAGUGUCCCCAUGUCCCCAUGUCCCCAAAUCCCCAAAUCCCAGUGUCCCCGUGUCCCCAAAUCCCGGUGUCCCCAAAUCCCGGUGUCCCCAUGUCCCCAUAUCCCCAAUGUCCCCCUGUCCCCAUAGCCAUGUGUCCCCCGUGUCCCCAUGUCCCCAAAUCCCGGUGUCCCCAUAUCCUGGUGUCCCCAUGUCCCCAAUAUCCCCAAUGUCCCCGUGUCCCCAAAUCCUGGUGUCCCUGUGACCCCAUGUCCCAAUGUCCCCCUGUCCCCAUAGCCAUGUGUCCCCCAUGUCCCCGUGUCCCCAUAUCCCCAUAUCCUGGUGUCCCCGUGUCCCCAUGUCCCAAUAUCCCCCAAUGUCCCCGUGUCCCCAAAUCCCGGUGUCCCCAUGUCCCAAUAUCCCCAUGUCCCCAUAUCCUCAUGUCCCCAAAUCCCGGUGUCCCUGUGUCCCCAUGUCCCCAUGUCCCCGUGUCCCCAAAUCCCCAUAUCCUGGUGUCCCCAUGUCCCAAUAUCCCCAAUGUCCCCAUGUCCCCAUAGCCAUGUGUCCCCAUGUCCCCAAAUCCUGGUGUCCCCAAAUCCCGGUGUCCCUGUGACCCUGUGUCCCAAUGUCCCCAUGGCCCCAUGACCCCACAGGCAUGUGUCCCAGUGUCCCCAUAUCCCCAUGUCCCCACAUCCCCAUAUCCCCAUGUCCCCAUGUCCCCAUGUCCCCGUGUCCCCAUAUCCCCGUGCCCCCACGUCCCCAUAACCGUGUCCCCACCCUGAGCCCCACAGUGUCCCCAAAUCGCUGUCCCCAUGUCCCUGUCCCCACCCCAGGUCCCCUUUCCCCGUGGUGUCCCCAAACCCCGUGUCGUGACCCCGUGUCAUCGUGCCGUGUCCCCAAAUCCCCGUGUUUUGUCCCCAUACCCGUGUGCCCACGUCCCUGUGACCCCCCCAUGUCCCGGUGACCCUAUAUCCCCGUGUCCCAUGUCCCUUUGUCCCCCCCACGUUCCCGUGUCCCCAUAACCCCGUGUCCCUCUGUCCUGGUGUCCCCAUAACCCCGUGCCCCCAUCUUCGUGUCCCCGUGUCCCCAUAUCCCAAUGUCCCAGUGUCCCCAUGUCCCCGUGUCCCCAUAUCCCAAUGCCUCAGUGUCCCCACAUUCCCAUAUCCCAGUGUCCCCAUGUCCCUAUGCCCCGUGUCCCUAUAUCCCGAUGUCCCUAUGUCCUUGUGUUUUUGUGUCCCCAUAUCCCCAUAACCCCAUAUCCCCGUGUCCCUAUAACCCCAUGUCCCCGUGUCCCCAUAUCCCAGUGUCCCCAUAUCCCCGUGUCCCUAUAUCCCCAUGCCCCCAUAACCCCAUGUCCCUGUGUCUCCACAUCCCCGUGUCCCCAUAUCCCCAUAACCCCAUAUCCCCGUGUCCCUAUAACCCCAUAACCCCGUGUCCUUGUAACCCCGUGUCCCCGUGUCCCCCUGUCCCCAGAACCCUGUGUCCCCUUAUCCCCAUAACCCUAUUAACCCAUGUCCCCAUAACCCCAUAUCCCCCUGUCCCCAUAACCCCGUGUCCCCGUGUCCCUUUAACUCCAUAACCCCAUAUCCCCCUGGGCGUCCCCCNNNNNNNNNNNNNNNNNNNNNNNNNNGCGGUCGGCGUUGGAGAUGUCGAAAACGGCACCCACGGCCGCCGUGUCCACGCCGCCUGGGGGUGGCCAAAUUUGGGGGGGGGUUCAGCCCUCACAGCCCCCCCCCCAUCCUCGUGUCCCAACGCCCCUGUCCCCAUUCCACCUGGUCCCGGACCUCGCAGCCCUGUGUCCCUUGGGAUUGAGCCCCGUGUCCCUGUGUCCCCAUAUCCCCAUAACCCUGUGUCCCCAUAUCUCCAUGUCCCCAUUACCCCAUAACCCCGUGUCCCCAUAACCUCGUGUCCCCGUGUCCGUAUAACCCCAUAACCCUGUGUCCCCGUGUCCCCAUA
rnacentral:lncRNA from 1 species